UGUGGAAUGUGAUGAUGACAAAUUAUCAAAGCACUAGCAAUGCUGAAUUGUUUAUUUGCACGUCAGUCUGAUCCAUG